rnacentral:tRNA from 1 species
GGGCUUUUAGUUUAGUCGGUAAAAUUCCUGUUUUGCACACAGGUGUCCGGGGUUCGAUUCCCCGAUAGUCCAC